rnacentral:rRNA from 1 species
CACGUAGUUAGCCGUGGCUUCCUCCUUUGGUACCGUCAUUAUCGUCCCAAAAGACAGAGCUUUACAACCCGAAGGCCUUCAUCACUCACGCGGCGUUGCUGCAUCAGGCUUUCGCCCAUUGUGCAAUAUUCCCCACUGCUGCCUCCCGUAGGAGUCUGGACCGUGUCUCAGUUCCAAUGUGGCCGAUCACCCUCUCAGGUCGGCUACGCAUCGUCGCCUUGGUGAGCCGUUACCUCACCAACUAGCUAAUGCGCCGCGGGUCCAUCUCAUAGUGGAUUGCUCCUUUCCUCUAAGUGUCAUGCGACACCAAGAGUAUAUGCGGUAUUAAUCUCCCUUUCGGGAGGCUAUCCCCCUCUAUGAGGCAGGUUACCCACGUGUUACUCACCCGUCCGCCGCUAGGAACCGAAGUUCCUCGCUCGACUUGCAUGUGUUAGGCACGCCGCCAGCGUUCGUCCUGAGCCAGGAUCAAACUCU